CUAAUCAAAUUAAAUUUAGAGAAAGGGAAUAUGAAUGAUAUUUCAUAACUAAAAUUAAAUUUUAAAUGGUGACAUUUUUUUAAACUUAUUUCCAUCAAUUAAAUACUGUUUAAUAGGGAUUUCUUUCCUAUAUAACUUUUUAAUUAAAACUUAAGAAACAGGUUAACUGGAGAAUAAAGUUUUAAUUUAGUAAAAUUAUAAUUUCGAUUAUAAUAACGGCUAUUUAAAUGAUCCAUGAAACAAUAAGUUUAUUUUUUUCAAAAAUUAAUUUAAUCGUACCGAUAACCGCAUCAGGUCUCCAAGGUGAGUAGCUUCUGGCCAUUGAGUAAUGGUAAUUUAGGGAAUUCGGCCAAUUAGAGCUGUAACUUGGGAUAAAGCUUGGCUCUGAUGGAAAUCAGAACCGAUAGUUACAAGGAGAGCCCAACUGUUUAAUAAAAACUUAGUGUCGCGUCAUACCUUUAUAAGUAAUAAACGUGACAUGAAUCCUGCUCAGUGCUGUGUUUGUUAAACUGGAUUAAUCCAUUUAAGCGCCGGUAAAUAGCUGGGGUAACUAUGACUCUUAUCAAAGUAGCGAAAUACCUCGUCACUUAAUUAGUGACCUGCAUGAACGGAGCUAUGAGGUUCUCACUGUCCCAAAUUAUCACUCAGCGAACCAACAGUUGUGGGAACGGGCACAAAUUAUCCAGCGGGGAAAGAAGACCCUGUAGAGCUUCACUUUGGUCUAAUCUUGUAUAGUUUCGUUAGGGGUGCAGUCUAGGUGGGAGAUUUUUAAUCAAAUAUGAGAAACCACUACCCUUUCUGGAAUUAUACUUACUAAAAUUCUUUUAUAAAUUUUAGGAUCGGAUUAGAUAGAAAGUUUGGCUGGGGCGGCACACCUUCGAAAAAGCAGCGAAGGUGUCCUAAGUUAAGCUCAGUAAGGACAGAAAUCUUACGUUGAGGAUAAGGCCAAAAGCUUAAUUUACUGUGCCUUUUUGUACUAGGAUCAGUUUGGAAACAAAGGCCUAACGAUCCCUAAUUAGUCUUAGGUGUGUAAGACUUGGGGUGACAGACAAGUUACCUCCGGGACAACUGGCUUGUGGCUGCUAAGAGAUCAAAUCAACGCAGCUUUUUGAUUCUUCGAUGUCGGCUCUUCCUAUCCUAGUGAUGUACAAGUCACUAAGGGUUGGAUUGUUCACCCGUAUUAGGGAUCGUGAGCUGGGUUUAGACCGUCGUGAGCCAGGUUUGUUUUAUCCUACUGGAUAUAAUUUAGCAUCUUGAUAGUAGUUUGAUUUAGUACGAGAGGAACUGUUGAAUAUGGUCUCUGGUUUGGGAAUUUUAUGAAAAUAAAAGUUCCAAAGCUACGCCGUCUGAGAUAAUGGCUGAAGGCCUCUUAAGCCAGAAACUCAUCUAAAAAUAGAUGCUUUAAACUAUUUAAAAGAAUUAAAUUUAAAAUAUUUUUUUUAUUAAAAUUUGUUAAUAAUUCUUUAGUUUAAAUGACCAAAUGUAGAAGACGUUUUGUCAACAAGGGUCCUGUAAGU
rnacentral:rRNA from 1 species